GUGUGGUGCGGGUCCUACCGGCCCGAGUUCGCCAUCCAAUCCAUCAAGACAGACGUCCACAGUCCCCUGAAGUACAGGGUACUGGGGUCGCUGCAGAACCUGGCCGCCUUCGCAGACACGUUCCACUGUGCCCGGGGCACCCCCAUGCACCCCAAGGAGCGAUGCCGCGUGUGGUAGCCAAGGCCCUGCCGCGCUGUGCGGCCCACGCCCACCCGCUGCUCGGAGGCAUCUGUGCGAAGGUGCAGCUAGCGGCGACCCAGUGUACGUCCCGCCCCGGCCAACCAUGCCAAGCCUGCCUGCCAGGCCUCUGCGCCUGGCCUAGGGUGCAGCCACCUGCCUGACACCCAGGGAUGAGCAGUGUCCAGUGCAGUACCUGGACCGGAGCCCCCUCCACAGACACCCGCGGGGCUCAGUGCCCCCGUCACAGCUCUGUAGAGACAAUCAACUGUGUCCUGCCCACCCUCCAAGGUGCAUUGUCUUCCAGUAUCUACAGCUUCAGACUUGAGCUAAGUAAAUGCUUC
rnacentral:lncRNA from 1 species